CCUACGGGUGGCAGCAGUGAGGAAUAUUGGUCAAUGGGCGCAAGUCUGAACCAGCCAAGUAGCGUGAAGGAUGACUGCCCUACGGGUUGUAAACUUCUUUUAUGAGGGAAUAAAGUGAGGCACGUGUGCCUUUUUGUAUGUACUUUAUGAAUAAGGAUCGGCUAACUCUGUGCCAGCAGCCGCGGUAAUACGGAGGGUCCGCGGGUUAUCCGGAUUUAUUGGGUUUAAAGGGAGCGUAGACGGGCUGUUAAGUCAGUUGUGAAAGUCUGCGGCUCAACCGUAGAAUUGCAGUUGAUACUGGCAGGCUUGAGUACAGUUGAGGUAGGCGGAAUUCGUGGUGUAGCGGUGAAAUGCUUAGAUAUCACGAAGAACUCCGAUUGCGAAGGCAGCUUACUAGACUGCCACUGACACUGAGGCUCGAAAGUGUGGGUAUCAAACAGGAUUAGAUACCCGGGUAGUC
rnacentral:rRNA from 1 species